UCCUACGGGAGGCAGCAGUGGGGAAUAUUGGACAAUGGGCGCAAGCCUGAUCCAGCCAUGCCGCGUGAGUGAUGAAGGCCCUAGGGUUGUAAAGCUCUUUCAACGGUGAAGAUAAUGACGGUAACCGUAGAAGAAGCCCCGGCUAACUUCGUGCCAGCAGCCGCGGUAAUACGAAGGGGGCUAGCGUUGUUCGGAAUAACUGGGCGUAAAGCGCACGUAGGCGGAUUGGAAAGUUAGAGGUGAAAUCCCUGGGCUCAACCCAGGAACUGCCUUUAAAACUAUCAGUCUAGAGGUCGAGAGAGGUGAGUGGAAUUCCGAGUGUAGAGGUGAAAUUCGUAGAUAUUCGGAGGAACACCAGUGGCGAAGGCGGCUCACUGGCUCGAUACUGACGUUGAGGUGCGAAAGUGUGGGGAGCAAACAGGAUUAGAUACCCUGGUAGUCCACACCGUAAACGAUGAA
rnacentral:rRNA from 1 species